CCUACGGGUGGCAGCAGUGAGGAAUAUUGGUCAAUGGACGAGAGUCUGAACCAGCCAAGUAGCGUGAAGGAUGACUGCCCUAUGGGUUGUAAACUUCUUUUAUAUGGGAAUAAAAUGUUCCACGUGUGGGAUUUUGUAUGUACCAUAUGAAUAAGGAUCGGCUAACUCCGUGCCAGCAGCCGCGGUAAUACGGAGGAUCCGAGCGUUAUCCGGAUUUAUUGGGUUUAAGGGGAGCGUAGGUGGACUGUUAAGUCAGUUGUGAAAGUUUGCGGCUCAACCGUAGAAUUGCAGUUGAAACUGGCAGGCUUGAGUACAGUAGAGGUGGGCGGAAUUCGUGGUGUAGCGGUGAAAUGCUUAGAUAUCACGAAGAACUCCGAUUGCGAAGGCAGCUCACUGAACUGCAACUGACACUGAGGCUCGAAGGUGUGGGUAUCAAACAGGAUUAGAUACCCGAGUAGUC
rnacentral:rRNA from 1 species